GACGGAGGGUGCGGGUGUUAUUCGUUUUGAUUGGGUGUAAAGGGUGCGUAGGCGGCGCAGAAAGUUGGGUGUGAAAUCCCUCGGCUCAACCGAGGAACUGCGCCCAAAACUACUGUGCUCGAGGGAGACAGGGGUGAGCGGAACUUAGGGUGGAGCGGUGAAAUGCGUUGAUAUCCUAAGGAACACCGGUGGCGAAAGCGGCUCACUGGGUCUCUUCUGACGCUGAGGCACGAAAGCUAGGGUAGCGAACGGG
rnacentral:rRNA from 1 species